UAAAGGUCGAAAGGGGAGAUUCAGUAUCCAGUCCUCACCGCCGCUUCGCGCCGCCGGGUACAACUCGGGAUCGCCCCUCGGGGUGGUCCCGGGCCCGCGGCGCGUCUCGCGCGCGGGAGGUGGAGCGCACUUCUCCCCGAGUAGGACGCCGCGACCCGCUGGGUGUCGGUCUGAGGUCCGGGCGCGAGCCCGGGUCCGCGGUUCGCCGCGGCCCGGAGCCCCGGUGUCCCGGCCGACUGCCCGGCGGUAGAACGUGAGGAACAGGCCCGCGGGACCUCUCGGUCACGCGCCCGUGCCCCUUGCGAGCGUCCGGUCGCGUCUCCCGUCGUGCGGACUUGUCCGCCGCGGGCCGGCCGGCGCUGUCGGCUUGGGGAUUUCUCGGGCAGCGGUCUUCUCCUGUUCGCGGCGCUCACAACUGGGCGGCCCACCCGGCCCGUCUUGAAACACGGACCAAGGAGUCUAACAUGUGCGCGAGUCAUUGGGUCCCACUACACCCAAGGGCGUAUUGAACGAGAAGGCCGG
rnacentral:rRNA from 1 species